rnacentral:rRNA from 1 species
UACGGAGGGUGCAAGCGUUAUCCGGAUUCACUGGGUUUAAAGGGUGCGUAGGAGGGCAGGUAAGUCAGUGGUGAAAUCUCCAAGCUUAACUUGGGAACUGCCGUUGAUACUAUCUGUCUUGAAUACCGUGGAGGUGAGCGGAAUAUGUCAUGUAGCGGUGAAAUGCUUAGAUAUGACAUAGAACACCAAUUGCGAAGGCAGCUCGCUACACGAAUAUUGACUCUGAGGCACGAAAGCGUGGGGAUCAAACAGG